ensembl:lncRNA
UGUUCAACCUACAAGGUCGUCUCGACAGAGCAGAGUUGUGGUAGCUGCGCUCUCCCUUCUGGCAGAAAGGAUGAUCUGCAACGUGCCUAUACAUGCUGCGAUCAGCUGCAGCACCUCUCGGCGCCUGAUUAGCUUCUCACUCAAACGCAGCCCCUCAUUUCUCAUAAAGUGAUAUUUUUAUCUUCCAAGUUGGCGAUGGCCGCGGUCGGAGGCGUUAUGUUUUUGGGUUGUCCACUCGUCGCUACAUCUCGUUCUUGUAAACGUGAUAUCUCAAGAACACCUUGAGGGAAUUUCUUUAAAUAUGGCACAAAUUAUCCACAUGGACUCAGUGAUGAACUGAUUAAUUUUGAAUGGUCACAAUUUAUAUAAUAAGUAUGACAAAACAUGUUUCCACAGUGCAAAAGGACAAAAUGAUAAAGUGAAGACAUUUAUAUCCGAAAGGUCCAGAGUUAACAUCAUUGUGACAUCAUUGUUUUAUUUUUUCAUUUUUUUAUUGUCCUUAGCCAGUAGAUAAUGGUUAUUUGUAUCAUGUGAUCUCCUCAAACUGCCCAUAAAAGUUGUUUUAUCGAAUUAAUUAUAAAUUGUGUAGUAAGAGCUUUAAUAAUAACACACAUUUCUUUUCAUUUGUAGGACCUUUUGACUCAGUACUCCAUUGCUUACGCUGAGGUGUUGAAAGAAGUCAAACUGUAUGCCACUGGAGGCCAGCCCAGCACUGCCUCAAGCUCCAGGCCCACACAGGGGAAACAGAAAACAAGCUGGAAGAAGAAAUCAUUCACCCCUUACAACCGUUACUGACUGGAGGACUUCUUAAUUACAGAUUCUAUUGGUCCAGAUUUUAAAACCAGGAAAUGUAGACGUCCCAGACAUUUCAGCAGCCCACUGAAACUUUUUGUUAAGCUUUUGUAAUGAAAAAUCUUUAAUGAGUACAAAUUGAUACGCUGAUAUUGUGAUAUUUGACUUGAUGAAUAUAUAUAUAUAUAUUAUAUACAUAUAUAUUAUUCAUUCACAUUAAUAAACCCCUUUAAUUAUAACUUUUACUCUGUGGUAAACGUUUUUAAUUGGAGGUGUAAUUUGUAGGAAUUGACAUGUAUUAAAUGUAAACAUUAAGUUGUUUCUCGUAAAAAGGGUCAUUUUGUCGCAAUAUUUCUACAGUGCAUUUGUUUGGCUUCAAUAAUCAUGUAGUCAAAAUCGGAUGUCACGUCAGUCCUGAUGUAAAAUGUGUCUCUUUAGCAGCCGUUUGAACUCAAUGUUUCAUCUGAUUUCAUCAUCAUCGGUAAAUGAAUAUAAGAUGAAAACAAACAUGUAAAAUUUUAUAAAUUCUGUUAACAGUAAACAAAACAUACUACUUCUCUGUCACCCGACAAGAAAAUCCCCAGACUCCCUUGAGAAAUCGCUCAAUUUUGUGACUUAAAUACAUAGUGUUCAUUUGUCCCUGUGAUGAGUUUAUUUUGCUUAUAGUUCCAAGGAACCUAAAAAAGAAGGAAGGGUUUUUGUGUCACUGACUCUCACUUUGGUGCCAGACUGUGGUGUCAGCUUGGAGAAACACACGAAAAAGCCAACAAAUAAACGUUGUAUUACAUAAUUUAUAUUCAUUUUACCUAAAAUGAUUGACAGGGUUGAUAAUAUCAUGAUCAAACUGGGCAGGUUUGAUUAAUUUCUGCUCAUGAAACUGCAAUAACCCUGCGAACAGGAGCCUUUCCUACACAAAGUCGUGGAACAAAAUCAGUGACAUAAUGAACCCUUUUGAGGUUCCUUGUAUAGAAAGUGAAAGUGAGAUCUGAUCACAACUGGUCACUCCAGUUUUGUUUAUCUGUGUAGCAUAAAGAGGAUCGAGCUCAGUUUCGUUUUUUGGAACCCCGGUGUUGUAAAAUCAUAAAUGAAUGAACCUUGAACCUUUAGAAACGGAGUCUGCGAACAUGACAAAACAACCGUCUUCCAGCACAACACAGAAGUUCCACAGAGCACCUUUUAAUAAAAAACAUUAUUGACUUGUAUAAGAUGAUGAACCACAGAGCAAAGGCAACCCAAGAAAAUGUAUGAUGGCAAAUUCUAAACCAUUGAUGUCUCAAGUCGUUCAGGCUGGUUGCUGCAGGUAAUCCUCUGUAUCCUCUGACAUUGUUCUGGCUGAUCAGUUCAUCCAACACGGCGUCUGGUGUUCACUUCCUGGAUGAGAUUCCUUGAGUGUCACUGAGGAGAAAGAGAGCGACAUCGACUCAUUAAUGGAACACACUGGAGUUGUUAUCUUAUGUCUUACAUUAGGAUUUAUGGCUAUUGAGUAAUCAAAGUUCAGAUUAUAUGGUAAUUUUCUUAAUCCAAAAUGUUGUUUUGUGAAACGUAUUGAAGAUGUUGAAGAUUGAACAUGCUGCAUCGAUCCCUGUGAAUCCCUUGUGCACGUGAGGGCAAUUUGAACCCAGUGCAGAAAUGGCGGACCCCGCCACAAACUACAGACCGUACAGAGUGGUAUUUAUGUAUGAUAUGGCUGCUGCAUGAAAAAAUGUGCACUAUAAAUGGUAUCAACAAUAAGGUUUUAGCUAAACUGUGUCAAAAUUAAUGGUUGCAACAGUUACAUGAAUACUGAUUUAUGAAAUAAUUGACUUUACUGUCUUGGCUUGUUCCUCUUUUAGGGAAGCUUUUCAUAUAAACUGAGGACAGAAAGGACAAUAAGAGCCAACAUCCAGCCUGCAGGCAGUAACAUGUGAAGGUGCAUAAUCAAUCUGUACCUUUUCCCACCACCAUGGCUCUGCUGAGGGUCUUGCAGCUGUAAAAUAUUGAACAUAAAUUAAACUGUAUAACAAACAUACUCUUUGCACAGUGCUGUACAAGUCAAAUUCAGAGCAUGCAGGUCGACUCACUGU